GUCACGGCAAGAGCAAGAACCUGGAGACUCGGGAGUAAUGCCGUUACUGGCCGCCUGGGCCGGGUCGUCACCCCUCGUUUGCUCUCAGUCGAGCUCCGGGGUUGGAACAGCUGCGAGAGAAGAGAGGGCACUCUGCAAAAGAGGGCGGAGUUUUGCUGUGUGAAGAUCCCAUAGCCAGCCUCCUGCUGAAGACCGCUUAGCAAGUGGCUUUUUCCAAAAAGUAGGAUCAACCUGCCCCAUCAUGCUACUUCGAAAAGCCUGGAGUAACAGAACAAGGAGAGCAAAAUAAGAGGUUGCAUCAUACUAUAUCAGCUGUUCUUAAAGUGUGGCCUGAGACUAAAACCUUUUCAAUGGAUCAUGUAAUGCAGUCAAACUACUUUCAUAAUGAUAAUAACAUGAUUUGUCUUUAUCAUUCUCAUUCUUUCAUGAGUGUCCAAUGGAGUUUUCCAGAAGCAACAUGACGUGAUGACAUCAUCGUUCUGAGGGCUAAUGGAAUGUGUGCUUGUGUGUUCAUACGUUUUCUAGAAUGUUCUGAGAUCUUAGGUUUCUGAAAUGUAUAAACAUUUCAAAUAUCUGCAUAACUCAGUGAACCAAUAUUUUCCAAAUGACUGGUAUAUGAUGUUACAAAAUCAUGAGUAGAAGAUUCAUUCAAAGUGCAAAACAGACUGAUGGGUUUUCAUGUAACAGUGCAAAAAGUUCAUAGAUAUGAUUUCAGAUUCCGCUUUACAACUAACCUUUAAGAAACUGCUGGGGAGUUUUGUUGUAAUAUCAAAAAAUAACCGCAGUUAGGGGCUGGCCCCGUGGCCGAGCGGUUGAGUUCGCGCGCUCUGCUGCAGGCGGCCCAGUGUUUCAUUGGUUCGAAUCCUGGGCGCGGACAUGACACUGCUCAUCAAACCACGCUGAGGCAGCGUCCCACAUGCCACAACUAGAAGGACCCACAACGAAGAAUACACAACUAUGUACCGGGGAGGUUUGGGGAGAAAAAGGAAAAAAUAAAAUCUUAAAAAAAAUAAAAAUAACCGCAGUUAUCUGGAAAGGCUAUUAAAAAACUCCCUCCCUUUUCCAACAGCAUAUCUUAUUCAUAUAUUUCCACCAAAACAACAUAUUGCAACCACUUUCACUUACAUUAAACCAGCCAAUAAAGAGAUUUGCAGAAAGGUAAAACAAUAAUCUUCUGAUUUUGUUUUGUUUUGUAAAGAUAGUUACUUUCAUUUGAAUGGUUAGUUGUGUUAAUAUAUGAUAGGG
rnacentral:lncRNA from 1 species